rfam:Schistosoma curassoni strain Dakar, Senegal genome assembly, scaffold: SCTD_scaffold0002566
CUCCAGCUGACGAGUCCCAAAUAGGACGAAGCGUGCAACAAACUGGAU